rnacentral:lncRNA from 1 species
UUUGAUAAUAUUUCGAUUGCUAGAUGCAUCAAAAGUAUUUAUUCUGAUAUUAAGUCAUAAUUUGAAGCAACUCAAUUGUUUUGGUCUGUUUCAUUAGCAGUGGCAUAAAUGUUAAUAUCCAUAGUCUAGGUGCUAAAUCUGUAAGGUACCAUGCUGAACUCAUGGUCUGACAUUGUUUUUAUCUGCAAUUCAUUUUGCAUAUAACUCCCUCACUCUUGUGGGAAUGUCUCAUGCAAAGUUGCUCACUUGUCACUGUAGCUUGCUAUCUUCUCCAGAUUCCAUUAGUUUAGGGUUCUGUUAGUGUCCUAUAUCUUAAAUGGCCAUGUUAAUUGUUAAAGGACUGCUCCAACAAUAUGUGCAGUCACUGUUUGAUGAGGUAACAGUGUCAAAUGGUUUUACUGCUUUUCUGUAGAAUCUCUUUUGCUAAUCCUAUGCUUGUCUUCACUUUACUCUUUAGGAUGUUAUUGUUAUUUCUUCAAUGCAUUCGGGGGCUUUUGGCAAAAAAAAAGGAGGAAAAAUAAAGAUUGAAGGCUAUUU